rnacentral:rRNA from 1 species
AGUUAAAAAGCUCGUAGUUGGACUUCUGGCAGGGCGCCGCGUGCCACAAUCGUGCGCACAAGGGCCCGGCCAUCCUUCUGUCAACGUCGAGGACGUUUAUUCGUCCGCGGCGGGAUCAGUUAAUUUACCUUGAGAAAAUUAGAGUGUUUCAGGCAGGCGUAGCCGGAAUACAUUAGCAUGGAAUAAUGGAAUAGGACUUAGUCUCUUUGUUGGUUCGAGGGACUGGAGUAAUGAUUAAUAGGGAUAGUUGGGGGCAUUAGUAUUUAUUAGCUAGAGGUGGAAUUCUCUAAUUUGAUAAAGACUAACUUAUGCGAAAGCAUUUGCCAAGGAUGUUUUCAUUAAUCAAGAACGAAAGUUAGGGGAUCAAAGACGAUCAGAUACCGUCCUAGUCUUAACCAUAAACUAUGCCGACUCGGGAUCGGGAGCGCGUGUUAUCCGCUUUCGGCACCGUAUGAGAAAUC